rnacentral:snoRNA from 1 species
GCUGGUGCAGGUGAUGAUCACCUUUCCCCGUCAGAGCGACAGUGUUGAUCCCUCACUGUUCAAGCCAGGUCGUGUCUGAUGCACCAGG